GGCAGCUGUGGGCGGUGCGAAGCAGCCGGGAGGCGUUACGGAAUGCGGGUACGCCGAGGAUUCUGCUGGUCCUGCGCUGCAGACAGCUUGCAGUAAUACUGGUUUUGGAGCCAUUGUGAGGGGAAUGAUGACUGUGAACUAAGGGAAAAUGCUGCAGUUACAAUUCAGAAGUCUUGAUCCAGGAUGCUUCAAAAUAAUCUUACAAAAUAAUAUCUCGCUGUGGGUGCAGAAGUAAGGAACUGAUACCUUGCAACUGUCAAGCUGUUACUUCAUUCUCAUUUUUUUUCGAGUCUUGCUUUUGAGGAGUGAUUUUUGAGAUCUCUGCGGUCUUGGGCGCCACUUUGGUCUGUGACCCGCUGAUGUGCUUGGGAUGUUAUUUUCAGACGUCUUUCAGUUGCAUUUUAACCUUGGAAUUUACAGUGCUCCAUAAUUUAAUGUAUCCUAUGUUGACUGGAUUGAUAGAGACUGUAAAAUAGAUGUGACCUGGAAAAUGAGUCAUUUCUGGCAUGAGCACAAAGGCUGAGUUACUGGGAUCAUUCACAGUGACAUAGGUUGAACUUUAGAACUUCAGAAACCGUCUUGGAAGAGGUUAAAUGAUGCCAUGAGAAAUACUGGCCAGCAUACAGCCUUUCUAAAAGCUCUGCUUUCUUUAGCCAUGAACUCAUUUGCUUUGUAGCUUUCUGUUCACCUUUAGUGUCUGAUUUCGUAGUCAGUAAAGUUCAACAGCAGAACUCAGACCUCAUCCUUUGUGCCACUCAUACUUCAAAAGGACAUGAAAUAGCUUUUACAUCUCCACCUCCCUACUAAAAUCUCUCCUACCUUUUGGUUUCUUGCAUUAGAAGGGAAGGAAUGUACCUGAAACGGUCAGUUUUUUCUUCUUUUCGUAUUGUUUGAUGCAUGAUGAGCUUGGCUAUCUGAUCUCAUUGUGUUACUGAAUAUGGCUUCAUUAGCCACAAAAAGUGCUAUCUACAAGGAAGAAAAUAUGCCCUCUGCUGAAUUCAUCUGUGGCUAGAAUUUAAAAAGCUGCUGUCAGAGUACCACGAUGGAACUAUUGUUUGCAAAUAAAGCAAAUUAAAAUAAACAUCUUUUAUCAUAAGAAA